rnacentral:rRNA from 1 species
UACAGAGGUGGCUAGCGUUGUUCGGAUUUAUUGGGCGUAAAGGGUCCGUAGGCGGCCUGAAAAGUCGGAUGUGAAAGCCCACAGCUUAACUGUGGAACGGCAUUCGAAACUCUCAGGCUCGAGUGUGAAAGGGGUAAAGGGAAUUCCCGGUGUAAGGGUGAAAUCUGUAGAGAUCGGGAAGAACACCAGUCGCGAAGGCGCUUUACUGGUUCACAACUGACGCUGAGGGACGAAAGCUAGGGGAGCAAACGGG